CUCUCCUACAAAGGUGUGUCUGUGGUUUCCUGUCUUUGAACAUGUAAACACUGGAGGCAAAGAAAUAUGGACUUCAAGAAGUCUGGAGCCAGCUUGCUCCCUGACCACCUCACAUAG